CACGUACUCCCUUCGUCCCAUAUUAAGUGACUUUCUAUUACAUGUAUCUAGACAUCUUUUAGACAUAGAUGCAUCCAUAUUUGGACAUAUUUGAGUCACUUAAUAUUGGACGGAGGGAAUACCAA
rnacentral:pre_miRNA from 1 species